rnacentral:ncRNA from 1 species
AUAAUCAGAACAGAAGGAAAGAGUAAAUUAUCCUAGAUGUCAGAGAGCUGUCGGUUGGUGCGAGAUAGUCAUUGAAUAUAAUUGAAAAUCAUCCUUUAUUGUUAUUUUCUGAAUGUAGUAAGAAGAUACGCAGUGGCUUGCGUUACAAGGCCGGACAUUGUUAGAUGUCUUGAGAGCUUUUUUUAAAGAAUUAAGGUGGUACCGCGAUUAUAUCGUCCUUUAU